UACGUAGGGUGCAAGCGUUGUCCGGAAUUAUUGGGCGUAAAGAGCUCGUAGGCGGUCUGUCGCGUCUGGUGUGAAAACUCAGGGCUUAACCCUGAGCUUGCAUCGGGUACGGGCAGACUAGAGUGCGGUAGGGGAGACUGGAAUUCCUGGUGUAGCGGUGAAAUGCGCAGAUAUUGGGAGGAACACCAGUGGCGAAGGCGGCUCACUGGACCGGAACUGACGCUGAGGCGCGAAAGCGUGGGGAGCAAACAGG
rnacentral:rRNA from 1 species